rnacentral:rRNA from 2 species
UAGGGAAUCUUCGGCAAUGGGGGGAACCCUGACCGAGCAACGCCGCGUGAGUGAAGAAGGUUUUCGGAUCGUAAAGCUCUGUUGUUAAGGAAGAACGAGUGUGAGAAUGGAAAGUUCAUGCUGUGACGGUACUUAACCAGAAAGGGACGGCUAACUACGUGCCAGCAGCCGCGGUAAUACGUAGGUCCCGAGCGUUGUCCGGAUUUAUUGGACGUAAAGCGAGCGCAGGCGGUUAGAAAAGUCUGAAGUGAAAGGCAGUGGCUCAACCAUUGUAGGCUUUGGAAACUGUUUAACUUGAGUGCAGAAGGGGAGAGUGGAAUUCCAUGUGUAGCGGUGAAAUGCGUAGAUAUAUGGAGGAACACCGGUGGCGAAAGCGGCUCUCUGGUCUGUAACUGACGCUGAGGCUCGAAAGCGUGGGGAGCGAACAGG